UAAAAUUCCAUUUUUAUUGUUCCCAUUUUUACUGCCUGAAACAACACAACGAUUGAUGUGGAUCUGUACGCGUGACUUGAAAGGAUUUCAAUCACCUUGUGUCAAAAUUUAAAAUCUUGGUUUCCAUGUAAGAGUUUCAGUUUUCAAGAAUGAAUAUAUCCUUGUAUUAUGGUACACGUAUCGCUUGAAACUUGAAAAAUCAGCUCUCACAUUUAGUUUAUCUAAUAAUCCAUAUCAUCCUUGUUUGGCAUUCGGCUAGGAUGUUUUUUCUCAUUUGCAUUAUCCACAAUUGCUGCAUCGGUAGUUGUCAAUAGCAAUGAAACACUGGCAGCAUCCACUAGGGCUGUCCUGACAACUUUGAGGGGAUCUAUGAUUCCAGCCUUGACCAUAUCGACAUAUUCACCUUUAGCCCCAUCACCACCCAAAUUAUGAUCAUCUCCAAUAAUUUUCCGAGAAUGACAGCAGCAUCAAAUCCAGCAUUUGAAACUAUUGUGUAUGUAGGUGGCUGUGGCAAUCCAAUACCAAUUAUCAGAUAGAAAGCAAGCAAAACUCUACUCUCUCUCCGAAUUUAACAAAAACUUUCUAACUUUCUAACCUUGAAAGCAUGUCAUAACAAGUAGGCAAAUCUAAGGUGCGAACACAAAUUGCAAAAUCACAUAAGAAAAAUAACAUUGUUUUUGUCUAUGUCCAUGGGCAGCAAGGCAAAAGAAAAAAUUGCACUGUAAUAAAAAAAAAAAAAAAGAGCAAUAUUAUAAUUACAACUAAACAAUGUGAUGAAAGGAAGAAACUUUUGGACAAACUAUUUAGCCUGCUAUAACUCAUUCACAUUCUAUCCUUCCAACCAAAACAAAUUUGUACUUGAAUUCACUUCAUUGAAGUACAAUGGUUACCAAAAGCAACAAAAGUGUUUUAUUUGCAUCAAUGCAUUAAGUAAUCCUC
rnacentral:misc_RNA from 1 species